UUCGCCCUUUUCCGGUUGAUCCUGCCGGACCCGACUGCUAUCAGAGUGAGAUUAAGCCAUGCGAGUUAACGUAGCAAUACGUGGCGCACGGCUCAGUAACACGUAGUCAACAUGCCCAGAGGACGUGGAUAUCCUCGGGAAACUGAGUCUAAACCGCGAUAAGUGAGGAUUUCUGGAAUGGUUCCUGACUAAAAUCUAUAUGGCCUCUGGAUUGGACUGCGGCCGAUCAGGCUGUUGGUGAGGUAAUGGCCCACCAAACCUGUAACCGGUACGGGCUCUGAGAGGAGGAGCCCGGAGAUGGGCACUGAGAAAAGGGCCCAGGCCCUAUGGGGCGCAGCAGGCGCGAAACCUCUGCAAUAGGCGAAAGCCUGACAGGGUUACUCUGAGUGACUUUCGCUAAGAAAGUCUUUUGGCACCUCUAAAAAGGGUGCAGAAUAAGGGGUGGGCAAGUCUGGUGUCAGCCGCCGCGGUAAUACCAGCACCCCGAGUGGUCGGGACGAUUAUUGGGCCUAAAGCAUCCGUAGCCGGUUCUGCAAGUCCCCCGUUAAAUCCAGCUGCUCAACAGAUGGGCCGCGGAGGAUACUACAGAGCUAGGAGGCAGGAGAGGCAAGCGGUACUCAGUGGGUAGGGGUAAAAUCCGUUGAUCCAUUGAAGACCACCAGUGGCGAAGGCGGC
rnacentral:rRNA from 1 species